rnacentral:rRNA from 1 species
UGAGUCGAACUACGCCUCGUCGGCUAUUUUGAUGUCGGUCUUUCCUUGCGUCGCUCUCAUCGGUUGCGUAAGGUGGCUGACGAGUUUACCUUGAAAAAAUUAGAGUGCUCAACGCGGGCGCGACGCCUGAAUACUCGUGCAUGGAAUAAUGGAAUAGGAUCUCGGUUCUAUUUUGUUGGUUUUCUGAUCUGAGAUAAUGGUUAAGAGGGACAGACGGGGGCAUUCGUAUCGCUGCGUGAGAGGUGAAAUUCUUGGACCGUAGCGAGACGUCCCACUGCGAAAGCAUUUGCCAAGAAUGUCUUCAUUAAUCAAGAACGAAAGUCAGAGGUUCGAAGGCGAUCAGAUACCGCCCUAGUUCUGACCGUAAACGAUACCAACUAGCGUUCCGUCAGCAGUAAUUACGCCUUGACGGGCAGCUUUCCGGAAACGAAAGUUUUUCGGUUCCGGGGGAAGUAUGGUUGCAAAGCUGAAACUUAAAGAAAUUGACGGAAGGGCACCACCAGGAGUGGAGCCUGCGGCUUAAUUUGACUCAACACGGGAAAACUCACCUGGCCCGGACACCGUGAGGAUUGACAGAUUGAGAGCUCUUUCUUGAUUCGGUGGUUGGUGGUGCAUGRCCGUUCUUAGUUGGUGGAGUGAUUUGUCUGGUUUAUUCCGAUAACGAACGAGACUCUAGCCUGCUAAAUAGUCGGCGRAUAGCUUUCAACGUUCGCGAGACUUCUUAGAGGGACAAGCGGUGUUCAGCCGCAUGAAGCUGAGCAAUAACAGGUCUGUGAUGCCCUUAGACGUCCAGGGCUGCACGCGCGCUACACUGGAGGAAUCAACGUGCUAUGUCCGUUGUCGAGAGGCGACGGUAACCGAUUGAAAAUCCUCCGUGCUCGGAAUCGGGAAUUGCAAUUAUUUCCCUUGAACGAGGAAUUCCUAGUAAGUGUGAGUCAUCAGCUCACGCUGAUUACGUCCCUGCCCUUUGUACACACCGCCCGUCGCUGCCCGGGACUGAGCCGUUUCGAGAAAAGCGGGGACCGCUGCCGUCGGAGUUUGCGAGUUUGCGAGUUCGAUGGACGCCAGAAACCGCCUUAAUCGCAGUGGCUUGAACCG